UACGUAGGUGACCAGCGUUGUCCGGAUUUACUGGGCGUAAAGAGCGCGCAGGCGGUCGUUCAAGUCGAGUGUGAAAGCCCCCCGGCUCAACUGGGGAGGGUCAUUCGAUACUGAUCGACUCGAAGGCAGGAGAGGGAAGUGGAAUUCCCGGUGUAGUGGUGAAAUGCGUAGAUAUCGGGAGGAAUACCUAUGGCGAAAGCAGGCUUCUGGGCUAUCACUGACGCUGAUCUGCGAAAGCUAGGGGGAGCAAACAGG
rnacentral:rRNA from 1 species